AGUGAACGCUGGCGGUAGGCCUAACACAUGCAAGUCGAACGGCAGCACAGUAAGAGCUUGCUCUUACGGGUGGCGAGUGGCGGACGAGUGAGGAAUACAUCGGAAUCUACUUUUUCGUGGGGGAUAACGUAGGGAAACUUACGCUAAUACCGCAUACGACCUACGGGUGAAAGCAGGGGAUCUUCGGACCUUGCGCGAUUGAAUGAGCCGAUGUCGGAUUAGCUAGUUGGCGGGGUAAAGGCCCACCAAGGUGACGAUCCGUAGCUGGUCUGAGAGGAUGAUCAGCCACACUGGAACUGAGACACGGUCCAGACUCCUACGGGAGGCAGCAGUGGGGAAUAUUGGACAAUGGGCGCAAGCCUGAUCCAGCCAUACCGCGUGGGUGAAGAAGGCCUUCGGGUUGUAAAGCCCUUUUGUUGGGAAAGAAAAGCAGCAGGUUAAUACCCCGCUGUUCUGACGGUACCCAAAGAAUAAGCACCGGCUAACUUCGUG
rnacentral:rRNA from 1 species